CGCGUUCAAGCGCCGUAGGCAGGAGCGGGGGACCCAGGUAGGCGUCGGCCCCGAUCGUCGCGAGACGCAUCAGGACCGACUUGGGGUGAAGUCGCGUGCUAGGACGUGCGACCGGGCAACUCACUCGGCCCGAACCCGACAGCUCACCUCGUAGGCGUCGGUGAGGAGAGUU
rnacentral:sRNA from 2 species